rnacentral:rRNA from 1 species
AAUAGAUAUCCAGGUAGUCCACGCCGUAAACGAUGAGUGCUAAGUGUUAGAGGGUUUCCGCCCUUUAGUGCUGAAGUUAACGCAUUAAGCACUCCGCCUGGGGAGUACGGCCGCAAGGCUGAAACUCAAAGGAAUUGACGGGGGCCCGCACAAGCGGUGGAGCAUGUGGUUUAAUUCGAAGCAACGCGAAGAACCUUACCAGGUCUUGACAUCCUCUGACAACCCUAGAGAUAGGGCUUCUCCUUCGGGAGCAGAGUGACAGGUGGUGCAUGGUUGUCGUCAGCUCGUGUCGUGAGAUGUUGGGUUAAGUCCCGCAACGAGCGCAACCCUUGAUCUUAGUUGCCAUCAUUCAGUUAGGCACUCUAAGGUGACUGCCGGUGACAAACCGGAGGAAGGUGGGGAUGACGUCAAAUCAUCAUGCCCCUUAUGACCUGGGCUACACACGUGCUACAAUGGACGGUACAAAGAGCUGCAAGACCGCGAGGUGGAGCUAAUCUCAUAAAACCCGUUCUCAGUUCGGAUUGU